AUGCCACUUCUGGAAGCAGUCAUCUUCUCCUGCCUCUGGGCCUUUGGCCUUGGCCAGGUGAAAUUGGAGCAACCGGAAAUAUCAAUUUCCAGAGCAAGAGAUAAGAGUGCCCACAUAUCAUGCAAGGUGUUCAUUUCGGACUUUAACAAUGCAAAGAUACACUGGUACCGGCAGAAGCCAGAUCAGGAGAUAGAACAUCUAACAUAUAUCCAGGCAAGCUCUGGUCAAGUUUCUUUAGGUGGGAAGAAAAACAAACUUGAAGCAAGUAAAAAUGCUCUUACUUCCACUUCAACCUUGAAUAUAAAUUUCUUAGAGAAACAAGACGAGGCCGUGUACUACUGUGCCUGCUGGGAUUGGGACCGGUUACUCAACUGGAUCAAGGUAUUUGCACAAGGAACUAAGCUCAUAGUAACUCCCCCAGAUAGAAACCUUGAUGCAGACACAUUCCCCAAGCCCACAAUUUUUUUUCCUUCAAUUGCCGAAAUAAAGUUCCAUAAAGUUGGAACAUAUCUUUGUCUUCUUGAGAAUUUUUUCCCUGAAGUUAUCAAGAUAGAUUGGCAAGAAAAGGAUGGCAAAAGAAUUCUGACAUCGCGGCAGGGAGACACCGUGAAGACUAACGACACAUACAUGAAAUUCAGCUGGCUGACUGUGACUAAAAAGUCAAUAGCUAAAGAACACAAAUGUAUCGUCACACACACGAGUAAUAAAGGAGGGGUUAACGAAGAGAUUCUUUUUCGUUCAAUGAAAAAAGAGCUCGCUGCUAUUGAUUCUGAAAAAAUCGAAGAUGCCACCCUGCAGCUGCAGCUCGCGAACACGUCUGCCUACUACACCUACCUCCUCCUCUUCUUCAAGACCCUGGUCUACUCCGCCAUCAUCGCCUUCUAUCUGUUUGGGGGACCAGCGCUCUGUGGCAAUGAGAAGAGUUCCUAACACAGGGCGGCACCAAGGGUCCACUUGUCUCCAUUGGCUGUUGCCGAUUAAAGUGUCUGCUGAGGAUCUAGCGGGGCUUGCUUUGGGUUAUUUCAGUUCAUACGUGUCUUUUUCUCUUGUGUCAUUUCCGCAGAAUGGGUUUACAAACUGCUGGGCAAACAGAAACUUACACUCUGCAGCAAGAACGAAUUCUGCCAUGACUUGGGGAGGGGGGGGCAGGCGACCAUGCACAGGGGUCUCAGCACCGCUCUCUCCUUAGUGUCCCCCAGCUCCUCAGCCACGCAGUCCCCACGCCUCUGCGCACAGCCAGCACGCAGCUUCUAGUCGUGUCCCCCGGGGCUCUUUCACCAGAUGACUGCCUGGAAGCCUUUUAUUCUACACAUCCGGAAGCUGGCAUCUUUGCUACCUGAAUUUUGUACUGUUUUACAAAAUAGGCACAAUAAAAACAAUUAAAUGUCUA